rnacentral:rRNA from 1 species
GUAGGUGGCAAGCGUUGUCCGGAAUUAUUGGGCGUAAAGCGCGCGCAGGCGGUUCUUUAAGUCUGAUGUGAAAGCCCACGGCUCAACCGUGGAGAGUCAUUGGAAACUGGAGAACUUGAGUACAGAAGAGGAAAGCGGAAUUCCACGUGUAGCGGUGAAAUGCGUAGAGAUGUGGAGGAACACCAGUGGCGAAGGCGGCUUUCUGGUCUGUAACUGACGCUGAGGCGCGAAAGCGUGGGGGGGAGCAAACAGGAUUAGAUACCCUGGUAGUCCACGCCGUAAACCGAUGAGUGCUAAGUGUUAGGGGGUUUCCGCCCCCCCCUUAGUGCUGCAGCUAACGCAUUAAGCACUCCGCCUGGGAGUACGGCCGCAAGGCUG